UCGAGAUUUUUGCCUUCGGGUACAAUUGAGACAGGUGGUGCAUGGUUGUCGUCAGCUCGUGUCGUGAGAUGUUGGGUUAAGUCCCGCAACGAGCGCAACCCUUGUGUUUUAGUUGCAAACAGGUCAAGCUGUGCACUCUAGACAGACUGCCGUGGACAACACGGAGGAAGGUGGGGAUGACGUCAAAUCAUCAUGCCCCUUAUGAUCUGGGCUACACACGUGCUACAAUGGCCGGUACAACGGGCAGCGAAGGAGCGAUCCGGAGCGAAUCCUAAAAAGCCGGUCCCAGUUCGGAUUGCAGGCUGAAACUCGCCUACAUGAAGUUGGAGUUGCUAGUAAUCGCGAAUCAGAAUGUCGCGGUGAAUGCGUUCCCGGGUCUU
rnacentral:rRNA from 1 species